rnacentral:rRNA from 1 species
UGGGGAAUUUUGGACAAUGGGCGCAAGCCUGAUCCAGCCAUGCCGCGUGCGGGAAGAAGGCCUUCGGGUUGUAAACCGCUUUUGUCAGGGAAGAAAUCUUCUGAGUUAAUACCUCGGGAGGAUGACGGUACCUGAAGAAUAAGCACCGGCUAACUACGUGCCAGCAGCCGCGGUAAUACGUAGGGUGCAAGCGUUAAUCGGAAUUACUGGGCGUAAAGCGUGCGCAGGCGGUUUUGUAAGACAGAGGUGAAAUCCCCGGGCUCAACCUGGGAACUGCCUUUGUGACUGCAAGGCUUGAGUGCGGCAGAGGGGGAUGGAAUUCCGCGUGUAGCAGUGAAAUGCGUAGAUAUGCGGAGGAACACCGAUGGCGAAGGCAAUCCCCUGGGCCUGCACUGACGCUCAUGCACGAAAGCGUGGGGAGCAAACAGGAUUAGAUACCCUGGUAGUCCACGCCCUAAACGAUGUCAACUGGUUGUUGGGAAGGUUCCUCCUCAGUAACGUAGCUAACGCGUGAAGUUGACCGCCUGGGGAGUACGGCCGCAAGGUUGAAACUUAAAUGAAUUGACGGGGUCA